rnacentral:rRNA from 1 species
GACGAACGCUGGCGGCGUGCUUAACACAUGCAAGUCGAACGAAGUGGCGAACGGGUGAGUAACGCGUAAUCAACCUGCCCUUCAGAGGGGGACAACAGUUGGAAACGACUGCUAAUACCGCAUACUGAAGGAGGGGAUUGCGUUUGCUUAGCGAGUUGGAGGGGUAACGGCCCACCAAGGCGAUGAUCAGGAGACGGUCUGAGAGGCUGAACGGCCACAUUGGGACUGAGACACGGCCCAAACUCCUACGGGAGGCAGCAGUGGGGAAUCUUGCGCUAUGGGCGCAAGCCUGACGGAGCAACGCCGCGUGAGUGAAGAAGGUUUGCGGGUCGUAAAGCUCUGUUGUAAGGGAAGCGGUAUCUUACCAGAAAGCCACGGCUAACUACGUGCCAGCCGCCGCGGUAAUAC